rnacentral:rRNA from 1 species
CCUACGGGUGGCAGCAGUGGGGAAUAUUGCACAAUGGGGGAAACCCUGAUGCAGCGACGCCGCGUGAGUGAAGAAGUAUCUCGGUAUGUAAAGCUCCAUUAGCAGGGAAGAAAAUGACGGUACCUGACUAAGAAGCCCCGGCCAACUAGGUGCCAGCAGCCGGGGCAAUACGUGGGGGGCCAGCGUUAUCCGGAUUUACUGGGUGUAAAGGGAGCGUAGGCGGCGCUGCAAGUCCGGAGUGAAAGCCCAUGGCUUAACCAUGGUACUGCUCUGGAAACUGUGGGGCUUGAGUGCGGGAGGGGCAGGCGGAAUGCGUAGUGUAGCGGUGAAAUGCGUAGAUAUUAGGCGGAACACCGACGGCGAAGGCAGCCUACUGGACCGUAACUGACGUUGAGGCUCGAAAGCGUGGGGAGCGAACAGGAUUAGAUACCCUUGUAGUC